UUCCCAUCGCCGUCAGACGGCUCGCUGCCCGGCCAGCAGGCCCGCUUCGGCUCGGCCGGCGCCGCCCCACCCAUGCGCAGCUACGGCUCGCCCGGAUACGCGGGGAUGCCCGCCCAGCACGGCCAGUUCCCGUCCAGCAGCACCCAGAACAUGAUGCAGCGCUCGGGGGGCAGCAUGGUGCAGAACCAGUACCCGCCGAGCCGGGCGCCCGCCAUGCCUAGCGGCGGCAAGCGCUCCUCGGACGCGCGC